UCGUUGGUGCUUGCGUGCGCACGACAGCCACAUGUGGUGUGAGGAGAAGCCAAGCUAAAAGAAGAACACGCUUUCUUCACACGCGUGUGCACGCAAGACAGGCAUAGAGAAGUUCGGAGCAGCUAUGGUCGAGGUGAUUCUUGUGUUAUAACAGAUGUUUACAGCAAUCCAGUAGGCUGCUCUUUCCUCUGAACUCUGCAUCAUUUUCUGUAGCUGGGAUGCAGAAAGAGUACGGAUUGACAUGAUCAACUGAAUGGGUUGAAGAAAACUGGGAGAUGCUUUCCUCUAGGGCUGUUGCAUAUCUGAAUAUCGAUGUUUCAGUAGUCGGUCCGGUUUUACUCCCAUCUACAACUCCCCAACUUGAUGAACUACUACUGGAAACAAUUAAACUGGUUCAAGACCCCGAUAAUUCAUCUCAAACUGUUUAUGAUUCAUGGGUCAAACCCAAUGCUUCUCCCAAGGUUCAACGACUGGGCAAUGGAGGAUCAGACUAUGCAGCAUUCGUUCAACAUGUUGGCAUUCCAUCCACCAACUUGAUAUUUGGAGAAGGUAGGGGCGCACUUCGUGUUGUUUAUUUUUACAGUUUCUCGUAUCUCUAAUGGUGCUCCUUGGACAUUGACAGGGCCAGAAUAUCCUGUUUACCA